rnacentral:rRNA from 1 species
UACGGAGGGUGCGAGCGUUGUCCGGAAUCACUGGGCGUAAAGGGCGCGUAGGCGGUCUGCUAAGCGUGCGGUGAAAGCCUGGGGCUCAACCCCAGGUCUGCCGUGCGAACUGGUGGACUAGAGCACUGUAGAGGCAGGUGGAAUUUCGGGUGUAGCGGUGGAAUGCGUAGAGAUCCGAAAGAACACCGGUGGUGAAGGCGGCCUGCUGGGCAGUUGCUGACGCUGAGGCGCGACAGCGUGGGGAGCAAACAGG